rnacentral:rRNA from 1 species
UACGUAGGGGGCAAGCGUUAUCCGGAUUUACUGGGUGUAAAGGGAGCGUGGGUGGCUGUGCAAGUCAGAUGUGAAAGCCCAGGGCUCAACCCUGGGACUGCAUUUGAAACUGCAGAGCUAGAGUGCAGGAGAGGUAAGUGGAAUUCCUAGUGUAGCGGUGAAAUGCGUAGAUAUUAGGAGGAACACCAGUGGCGAAGGCGGCUUACUGGACUGUAACUGACACUGAGGCUCGAAAGCGUGGGGAGCAAACAGG